AGCGAGACUCCGUGGACGUAGGACCCUCUGAGCCAGGAUCCAGUCCAAGAAUAAGUAAAUGGCAUCCUUCCAGUGGAGAGCUGACAGCUGGGAUUGAAACAAGAUCCAGAAUUCACCCUGCUGUUUCUCCAUGAGUCUGACCUGCAUCAACUGCCUCCCUUAUUCUGGGAUUCCAGUUGUGGAGCUCAAGGACAAGUCCAUUCUGGGCUGGCUGUAUCCAACUUCUUUAGUCCAACUAUAUCCCCACUGGAAGCCAGGCUCUUUCCAACAGCUGUCACCCAUGCCUCUUUCUAUGUUUGUUAUCUGUCUCUAGGUUCUGGUAACUACUUCCUUCCCUUGCCCCUUCUGGCCUAGGGUGCUACCAAUCCCUCCUCCAAAUCCAACUGUCACUAGCCUCAAAGUACUUGUAGCUUCCUCACCUUACUUUCACCUUAAUAAAUGGUCCCCCUACUAUCUCUCUUCAAAGCACCCAAUUUGAGUGUGCCAUCUGUUUCUUGCCAGGAUCCUGGUUGGUACAUCAACCAAGCUGCACUGAUGGAGGAGCACUGUGCUGAACUUUAGGAAUGAAGCCACAGGGCCCUCACUGCCCCCAUAGUCACCUUGGUCAUCUUCUGCCUCCCUGAAAGACUAAAUUCAGUCAGUUCAGAUACAUACACAUCCAGACAUGUCAGGGAAAACUCCAUUUUGUAAGGAUCUCUGCUUAAAAUGCCAAAAGUUUGAAAGUUGGCAAACACUUGAGAAAAGCACAGUUCUCUGUCUUACUCUUACUCUAAACUUGGAGAUAAAUGCAUUUUUAAAAUUGUGCAUGUUAGAGUGCUAACGUGUACAAGAUCAUUUCUGGUGAGACACCACAAACAAUAUUUUAUGAGGCCAAAAUAAGAAAGAAGGAAAUGAAAUAGCUCAGGAAUCUCAGGAAGAGCUCAUCGAACACUUUGCCUUUAUCUCAGACCAUUUUAUCCACAGCCCUGUUAAUCAGGAUUGGAUAUACCUCCAUGAGGGAGUCUUAAACGGAGGGAAAGAGAUGCCACAACUAAAAAAAAGAAUGCAAUAGAAGUUUGUCUUAAUGCCUGUUCUGUGAUGCACAACUUUCGUAAGCCAAAAUUUUAACCUUAUGAACAAUCAGUUCUGUGCUGCCCUUAGCAGAGAACCAUAAAUUAAAGAUAAGCAAUGGUUCAGACUUUCCAGGGCCUUGACUCAGGAGUAACUCUGAAAUCCCAACCAAAUAUGUAUUUGGUUAAGCAAUUUGGCACAUUUUUCUAUUUUGAGGCAUUAAACUAU
rnacentral:lncRNA from 10 species